rnacentral:rRNA from 1 species
GAUGAACGCUAGCUACAGGCUUAACACAUGCAAGUCGAGGGGCAGCAUGAACUUAGCUUGCUAAGUUUGAUGGCGACCGGCGCACGGGUGAGUAACACGUAUCCAACCUUCCGUUUACUCAGGGAUAGCCUUUCGAAAGAAAGAUUAAUACCUGAUAGUAUGGUGAGAUUGCAUGAUAACACCAUUAAAGAUUUAUUGGUAAACGAUGGGGAUGCGUUCCAUUAGGUAGUAGGCGGGGUAACGGCCCACCUAGCCUGCGAUGGAUAGGGGUUCUGAGAGGAAGGUCCCCCCACAUUGGAACUGAGACACGGUCCAAACUCCUACGGGAGGCAGCAGUGAGGAAUAUUGGUCAAUGGGCGAGAGCCUGAACCAGCCAAGUAGCGUGAAGGAUGAAGGUCCUACGGAUUGUAAACUUCUUUUAUACGGGAAUAAAGUAUCCUACGUGUAGAUUUUGUAUGUACCGUAUGAAUAAGCA